CCAAGUUUUACUGACGGAUAAGCUCCCACCAGCGUCGAUCAGAUUCUUCACGACGGAUGGACUCCACCCAAAUUUCCACGAUGAUCGACCAUCUUCUAGACUACGCCCGGACUCCUACGGGAGCCGGACCUCAUCCUCAACUCCGGCUGCAGGAAGACUUCGUCCAGACUCCUACGAGAGCCAGACCUCAUCCCCGACUCCGGUUG
rnacentral:lncRNA from 1 species